rnacentral:tRNA from 1 species
GGUGGUCUAGCUCCGUGGUAGAGUGCAUGCUUAGCAUGCAAGAGAUCCUGGGUUCAGUCCCCUGUACCUCCG